rnacentral:rRNA from 1 species
AUUGAACGCUGGCGGCAUGCUUUACACAUGCAAGUCGAACGGCAGCGCGGGCUUCGGCCUGGCGGCGAGUGGCGAACGGGUGAGUAAUGCAUCGGAACGUGCCCAGUAGUGGGGGAUAGCCCGGCGAAAGCCGGAUUAAUACCGCAUACGACCUGAGGGUGAAAGCGGGGGACCGAAAGGCCUCGCGCUAUUGGGGCGGCCGAUGUCGGAUUAGCUAGUUGGUGGGGUAAAGGCUUACCAAGGCGACGAUCCGUAGCUGGUCUGAGAGGACGACCAGCCACACUGGGACUGAGACACGGCCCAGACUCCUACGGGAGGCAGCAGUGGGGAAUUUUGGACAAUGGGGGCAACCCUGAUCCAGCCAUGCCGCGUGCGGGAAGAAGGCCUUCGGGUUGUAAACCGCUUUUGUUCGGGAAGAAAUCCUCUGGGCUAAUACCCCGGGGGGAUGACGGUACCGGAAGAAUAAGCACCGGCUAACUACGUG